CGGUCGGCAGACACCGAGGCGUCGCUGCCCCUCUUCAGGGGAUGCUAAACCUGCCA
rnacentral:ncRNA from 1 species